UCAUGGCGGACGGGUGAGUAACGUGUAAAGAACUUACCAUAUAGACUGGGAUAACAGAGGGAAACUUCUGAUAAUACUGGAUAAGUUAGUAGUAGCAUUACUAAGUAAUGAAAGGUAGUAAUACGCUAUAUGAGAGCUUUGCAUCCUAUUAGCUAGUUGGUGGGGUAAAAGCCUACCAAGGCGAUGAUAGGUAGCCGGCCUGAGAGGGUGGACGGCCACAAGGGGACUGAGAUACGGCCCUUACUCCUACGGGAGGCAGCAGCA
rnacentral:rRNA from 1 species